AAAGUCGUAACAAGGUUUCCGUAGGUGAACCUGCGGAAGGAUCAUUAUUGAGAGGGGGGCCUCGCGCCCCAGGGGCUUCGCGCCCCGCACCUUUCCACCCGUUGUGUAUCUUCCACUGUUGCUUUGGCGGGCCCCAGGGCUCAUCCCCCGGCGCUGGCCCCCCGCGAGGGAGGCUCGCGAGCGCCCGCCAGAGGCCCAUUCCAACCUGUUGUAUCAGUGUAGUCGGAGUUGACGAAUAAUCAAUCAAAACUUUCAACAACGGAUCUCUUGGUUCUG
rnacentral:misc_RNA from 1 species